CCAACUUCCUCCCUCCCUCCCUCCCUCCCUCCCUUCCCCUCUUCCUUCCUUUUUUCUUUCUUACUUCUUGUCACUGCCUUCCUCCAUUUCUUGCCUGCAUUGCUGUUUUUCUCCCUGGCCCCCUGAGUCUAUUUGGGGAGCUUUCUCAUGUUUUCGGGCUUCCUUUCCUCGCUAACCUCUCGUUUUGCGUGGAGAUGGGCAGCGGUGCUAGGAGGCACCUGAGUUCCCUCGGUGACAUCCCUGAGGCUGAGGUUCAGCUACGUGGUAUUUGCUGAAGGCAGGCGGAGGUUGGGGGCCACAAGACACGAGAUCCUUGGAAGUCACAGGGUCUGUAGAGACAGAGAGGAACACUGCCCCUUCCUUGAGAAGCCUCUGCCUGGACCAUGGCAGCCUUUCUGGGGGUUUCUGUGUUGGGAGGGAUGUUCCAGCACCUGCACUAGCCAGCAAUUUCAGAAAACUGGGUUUCCUCACACCUCAGCCCUGUUUUGAGAAAUGCGUCUCCCAAUUUUUACCUCUAUAUAAAGGAGUUUGGGUUGCUAUAAUUUGUAUAAUUGCAAAACCCCAGCACAGAUAUUUAAGAUCCAAUCAUCACACUUGUGGGUGAAAGGGAGAGUCCUUUCUAGAAAGUCCCAUCAGUCUUACCUCCAGAUCCUCGUGGGUCACGAGGCCUGGAGCAACCAGGUCUACCCCGGGACCCCAUAGAGUUGGAUGGUCCUCCCAGGAGACUAUUUUUUUUUUAAAGGUGUCAUUUAGUGAGUGUUUAUUGGACAUGAGGCGCUGUCUUGUACAGUCUCCGUAUUUCACAGAUGAGGCUCGGAGUGUUAAGCGAUGCACCCAAGAUUCUUGAGCACAUAAAUGUCAGGAUUGGGUCUUAAACUCUGGUAAAUAUGAUGCUAACACUGUCUCUCUUAACUCUCAGGGUUGUCUUCCUGAUCCUUUAUAACAGAGGCUUGCAAACUUUUUUGACUUCAACCCACAAUAAUAAAUCCAUUUUACAUGUUCACAUACUAUGUAACAACAUACACGUUUAUUUAACAGAUUCUUCAUGCAACAAGGUACACCUACGUAUAUGAGGUAUUCUGACAUCCUCUAUCCUAUCUUUUCCAUUUCAUUCUAUUUGUGAAAAAUAUAUUUGUGAGAAAUAUAUGCUGGGCGUCAGGAAGAUCAUUUGCUGAGCCACGAAUGAGUUGUGACCAGCACUGGAAAAAUUCUGUGAGACAGGCACGCACACUUGCCCUCACGGUACAUGUGGAAGUGUUUCGAAGUGUUUUUUGUAUUCCUGUCAGGGUGUGCGAGGAGACCAAGGCAGGGCGGUGUACUGAUGUGGAAGGAUUCUGUAGAGACGGGGAGCACCAGAACCCCUGAAGGGGAGCCCGGCUGGAGGAGAGGGUGAGCUGCUCGUUAAGGACACUGUUACCAAACCUUGAGGGGAAUAUCAAGUUCCAGAAACAUGGCAGAAGCAAGUCCUUCCUGGGCCCAAAGUGAAUGUUUGGUUCAUAGGAAAAUGACCAGGAAGACUCACAGCUGGAGGUUGUUUAAUGAUUUGUGGUGCAGGGACCUGGGUGACCAAUGGCUCUGCCGAAGAUCCCAGGACCAGGACUGAGGCCUCAAGUCUCACUGGACUUAAGAAAGAGCAACUUUCUUGGCCACAGUAGGAUUUGCCCCUUUCUAGUGAAGAGCUAAUAUGGAGAGAAGUAAGGAUCAGGCUGUGACACCGUGUGGCGGGAGGGAGGAAGUAGGGGCAGGGGACCCAGGAGAGGGCAGCCCAGCAUGUGGGGACUGUCAGUGCUCCUUCCUGAUCUGCUCCUUCGGGGAUGCUCUCUCGUGGGAGGCUCUGUACCCGGCAUUUCUGUGGGCACUCCAUAAAUUGGAAGUGUGACUGCUUAACCAGAAAAUAGACAUGAAGGCACGGAGAAGGUAGAGUAUCAGUCACUUCUAAAUGUGAAUUAAUGUCCUUGUUUGAUGGUAGAGCAUGGGACACUGUAACAGAGGGUGUGAUGGAAACUGUAUUGAGUGGCUUUAGACAACCAGUGGAAAUGAGAGCAAAGGGCCCCCAAGAGAUGGAAGAAAAAAAGUGUUGGGCCAAGAGGCACCAGAAGGGCCAGGAAAAUGUGAUAAAAGAAUAUAGAAAGGAAGGUGUCAGGAAAGUAGUAGAAGGAGUCGGGGUGGGACCUGUGGGCCUCGACUCACACUUUGCAAAGUCAGAGUGUGUGUGAGGCCUUUAUGACUGGCUUGGCCAGUAGCCAGGCCCACGGCUUGAUGGGAAUUACUUUGUGAACUCAACUGGCGAAGGAAUGUACCCCGAUCACACUUACUUGAGACCGAGGGAGGCGUCAGAUGUAUUUCUUCAUUUAUAUAUGGUAAGAGCUGUACAUUUUGGACCAAUGAGCCAUCAGCAAGGUCUUCCUUCAAAUGGUAUGUGUUGUGUAUCAUGCUGUUGGUGCACACCUGGCCAUAGGUCCUGCUCCAAGGCCCCUGUACGUCUUGGUGUUUUGUGGUCUGCUGUUUCUUGCCAGCAGCCCAGUUCUGCUCUCACUAUUUUCCUUAUUUAUUCUUACUUCAUUACAGGAUAUCCAUUUUAUCAAUCCACUCUGAUGACUAUAGGUUUUUCCACCAGAGAAACAAUGUCUGGCAUGAUUAAGGCUACCACGGAUCAAAGAAAGUUUUGGGCUCAUAUCAUUUUUUGGAUGAGACUUAUUUUUGGACAUCCCAGACUUUAGGGCAGAAUCAAAGCUAUGUAUUUAUGAAGCCAUAGUCUCCUGCCCUCAUCCUGUUUUAAAGACAAUAAAACAUUUGUAUGUGGUGCUAUA